CUAACUUUGGGAGACCCUUCCUAUGUUCUAUAGAUGAUCCAAAAGACCCAGAAUAAAAACUUAAACUAAGGAACUAGGCACUGUCAGAUGUUCCUCUGCACCAUCUUUGUUGUGGAGACUGAGUCCUAUUAAAAUCCUAGAAACACAAGAUGGGACCGUAUGUGAAAUACCAAAGGGAAUGGAAACCAUGCCAUAAAAGUACAUCACAACCUGGAUCCCCCAAACCUUGGCUAGCGUCAUGCUCUAGACAGUGACUUUUCUGAAUGGACAAACGAAUCCCUGACAGACCACAAGUUGCUGUUCAGAAGAUGGUCUCCUAAGGAUAAGUAAUUAAUGACUCCCAGGUUCUUACCGUACUUGUUGGACUAUCAGACAGCAGGCUACUUGGCUACAUCAGCUUUCACUAGAGAUUCCGGCCCCUAACCUUGACUGAUUUUCAGGCCUCUUAUUCUGGAUUCCCCAAAGAUUAAGGUCCAUUACAAAGGGAUACUAAAAUUUGCGCGUCUAUUUUGCUAAUAUAUGUGGUCAUCUAUGUAAUUAUAAAAUGUAAACUUAAAUGUUGUUCCAAAACCAAUGAUCAGAGUACUGAAAUAUUAGCCAUGCAAACCAUAUCUCACUCUCCCCACCUGGUACCCAAAAUAUUUUAAAAUGAAGGUAGAACAGUUUCAUUACUCUGACCCUGAUCUUCGCCCUUUCACAACAGGAAGCAGCUAGAGCGGUCUUCACCCCAUUCCUGAAGAUUGAGGAAUGAUCAUAAGACAGUGGGGAUUGAAAGCAAAGAUGAAGGAGUUAAAGUUUCCCAGGACUAGGAUGAAACCAUGCCUGUGCCCACAAGGUUAAUGUGGGGAACAAAGUAAUCAAAGUUUUUGAGCUUGCUUUGCAGAACAGCAGGAGGACCGCUGAUAAAGACAGUAGCUUGCUGACAGCCCUCUGCCUGACUAAGCAUCUCACAGGAGCAUUGAGCAGUUGCCCCUGUGCAGAAGAUUCUUCGAACUUCAGCCCCCAUGGCCACAUACACCCCUCCCUGUCUUAUUCUCACAAUGUGCUUUGGAAUAAUGCUUAGAACUGCACAUAGGAAAGCUACGGGGUGACUGGUAGAAUGAAUAAUUUGUCCUCUGCUGAAACUGUUCCUUCUAUCUUAGAUAGAGAAGUAACUGAAGUUUUCUUAGAUUCUUCAACAGUGUUGCAUUCAGCAGAUCUGCUAUAGAGAAACCCCCAAUGCUCUGCGGUCAUCCAUCACUUGACACUUCUGAGCUCCCUCCCAAAGCCCGUUUGCCUUAUGUGAGUCAUUUCCAAAUCAGUUCCACUUUAAGAUGAGUUUUUUGAGGACAAUGGUCCACCAUCUUCUGAAAUGCUAGCUUAUUGCUUAUUUAAAGUUCUUUCUCUACCACUGCCUGCUUGGCCUUUUGUCUUGUGGCGAGCAGAUUGAAGCCUUGCUCAGUUUCACUGUUACUUUCCUGCAACAGACUUUGAUUAAGAAGUCUACUCCCUCCCCACUCCCUCUCUACUCCCCGUUUUUCUCUAUAAAAGCAAGCUCCCCUCCUUUGUCUUCUGGAUUUGUCUAUGAUCCUCCAUAGCAUGCACAUCGAAAAUUGCAACAUUUUUGGCUAUUCCCAAAUAAACUCAUUUUGAGGAUAAAUUAACAAGUGAGUUUGUUUUCAAGCGACAUAUAUGGUGUCAGAAAAGUGAGAUCCAAAGGAGGCGAUCCUGGAGAGACUGUGACCCCAAAAAUCAAGUCAGGUACACACACCAAGCCCCUGUGCUCCUCACAUCUGAGAGUGCUCCCUGCUUUCGGUUUGGUGAGUCUCCUCUCAGAUUCUGAGCUCUGCUCUCCUCAUGUUUUGAGAUCUCAGACUUUACCCAGGAUCAGGAGAGGCUUUGUCCUCUUGGGGGAGGGCCUUUGUCCUCCCGAUUCAAGCCUCUGUCCUUGGGCUCAAGGUAUCGUCUUGGUGAGUACUCAGUUGUUUUCUGAAUGUAGCACAGUUCCUUUUGGAGCUCAGGCUUGCUAAAUAACCAGGAGUUUUUCUUUUUUCUAUUUAUUUUAUUGAGGUUACAUUGUUAAUAACAUUAUAUAAAUUUCCGGUGUGCUUUAUUAUAUUUUGACUUCUGUAUAGUCUGGAUCUUGUUCACCACCAAGAGUGUAGUUUCCACCUGUCACCCAAUAUAUGUGUCCAUUUACUCUUUCACCCUCCCCAUAUGCCCUUUCUCCUCAGGUAACCACAAAUGUGUUCUCCAUUUCUACCUGUUUGUUUGUUAGUUUAUCUUCCACAUAUGAGUGAAGUCAUAUUGUAAUUGUCUUUCUCCAUCUGACAUAUUUCAGUUAGCAUAAUACCCUCAAGAUUCAUCCAUGUUGUCACAAAUGGCAUGAUUUCAUCUUUUUAUGGUUUUAACAAUUGCUGCUUUAGGUCCACUAAAUUGAUUCGUGACCACGAUUGCGUUGUGGCCUCUGGUUUGAAAAACACUUCUCCAGUCCAGCUGCUCAGCCUGCGCAUUCCUCCAGCGUCCCUGACCUGAGCCUGUACGUGCACACCCCUGGAAAGGGAAGUGCCCCUCAGAAGGCCGAGAGCUGUCUGCUGUCCCUCUGGUAGUCCUCCUCCUAAGCACAAAGCUGCUGCUGGCCAUCGGUGUCUCUGCCAUCUAUGUCCAUAGGAAAUGGAGGGACUGACUCUUCUUCCUUCCUUGCCUGCUGUGUGCCACCCCCAUCUCUGCUGCUCCAUUCAUUCUGAGGGGCCCAGCCUAAGAGAAGGAGCCUACCAGAAGCUUCCAUGACUCUGCUCCAAAUGCCUCCCCUCCCUGGAGAUCUGCCUGCUCACACACUCCUGCUGCUCCUUCUCCCAGUCCUUGAUGCCCCCAGAGCUGGGUCUUCAUACAUGGUCCUGAGCAGGGGCCAUGGGACCUAGCACUGGGGACUGACUCAUGACAUCUCCCUAGAAAGUGAGAAACAAGUCAAAUCAACACACAUUAGAAUAUCUCUCAUCGAUUGCCUUGGGAAUUGGCCAUGAAGUACACACUCAUGUCCAUGCAUCAAGAGUUAUUCUGUCUUCUGGAUUCCUGUCUAGCCCUGACUCCCCAGCCUUUUUGAGUUGCUCUAUUUCCUCUUCAGGUCAAAUGAACCCCCAUUCUGAUUUUAAGAAGAAAAAUUAUUCUCCUUCCCCUUUGCCUAAAUGUCCUGCUCCUCAAACCCAGGAAGUUUUUUCUAAUCUCUCAGUCACGAAGGCAUUCGUUCUAUCAUCCAGCAUCCUUUUCAACCCUGUUGCUCAUGGUACACAUGCUGUCAGUUCAAAAGCCUAGGAGUCAUCUUUGAUUUCUCUUUCUCUUAUGUCCCAUAUUCAUUUCUGCCUUCAACAUGCUCAUGUCCAAUGGUGAGAUGGCAAAUGUUGAACAAUUGAUUCUCCAAAAGAAGAGAAAAAGCCUUAUUUGUAGUGCCUGCCAAUUUCUGGGAUGUAAACACUCCCCACGUGGCCAAUUUCAAGCUACUAACAGUUUAACCACCACCUUGCAAAAUUCCUGAAAAUGUAGCAGUUUGCUCUCAUGAGCCUAUCCAAGCCUUCCCCUGCACACCACUGAGUUAUAUCCAUAAUCUGCACACUUCUCACGCCACCACUACGCCCUGUCCCCAGCCAUCAUCAUCUCUUCCUGGACCAUUGCUAGAGUCUCUAGCUGGCUUUCCUGUUUCAACCACAGUUCUUUGGAAAUGUGAGUCAAAUUGUAUCACUCCUCUGCUUCUUCCCCAGCAUAUCUGCAUGCUUCACUCUCUACCUUCUUUCAAGUCUCAGCUCAAAUGUCACUCUAUUAAAGGCACCUUCCAUAAACCACCCUACAUAAAAUAUAAAUUCCUCUCUCACCUGGCAUUCCAAUUUCUCUUGACCUGAUUAAUUUGUUUCCUUAGCACUUAUUAUCACCUGACAUACUAAAUAUAGGAAGUGCUCACUUUCCUUGGCAGUGCAGGAGUGUCAUAGUGAGUGUGCAAACUGAAACCAUGGAAAGUGAUCUCAAUAAUCAAUGAGAUUAAUAAUGACUGUGCUGUGACCUUUAAAAUUUUUUUCAUUUUGUUGGAAAAUGUCAGUUUUAAAUGUAUAGGAAAAAGAAAAAAUAGAAAAACUAAUAUUUACUUAGUAUACUGUCAUUUGAAGAUUAGAAACAGUGAGAAUUAAAGUGUUUGAUUUCUUUGUAAAAACUUAUCAAGGGCAGUUUGAACAGUGUUUGCCUUCUUGUUGCAUAAUUUACGAUACAGAUCAAGCAGCUUUUCUAUGCCUUGGUGAAUCAUCAUACGCCUCUCUAAAUUUCGAUCAGAUUCUAACAUUUAUCCCUUGUGCUCUCAAUGUUGUGAAAUCUUGACAAAAGUUCCUUUAAUUUGCAGUGUUUUCUUGUGUCACUGCCUCAGGGACAUUUUCACCCUUUUCUUCAACACCACUUUCUUCAUUUAUGUGGUAAGUUUUCUGUCACUCAGUUCCUCUGGCUGCACAUCUGGCAUCUUUCUAACAGCAUCAGUUUCGUCAUUCCCACAGGCAGCAGUUCCUUCUAUGACUCCACUUACAUUCUGUUUGCAUUUCACUUCCAGCUUUAUCACUUUUCAUUUCUUCAUUGCACUUUCAUCUCUGUUGCCCAUUCCCUUUUGCAAUAAUUCAUUUUUGUAAAAUGUCAUGUGGGUUCAUCACUGGGAGACAAGGAGUCAACCCGACUACAUGCUUUGCUGUCUAUACAUAAACUGAGUAACAGAGUCACAGUGAUCAAUCAUUGCAGACUGUGAAAGAAGUCACGUGAUUGGUUACUGAUCAUGAUGAGCAUCUGUCAGUUACCUGGUGAUUUGUGGAGUAAGAAGAGCUAGCAGCAAAGUUUGUACUUAUGCAAAUGCUCAGAGUAAAUUUACUGUGGUAAUUGUAAUUUGAACCAUGUGAUGGGGACUGAUGUUAUUUAACUGAGCUGUGGUACCUGAAAUUCAUGCAUAUCAGCACCAUGCAAAGUGAACCCUGCCUGUGUGUGUCUCUUCCUCUAGAGGAUGUCGGUUCUAACAGAGAAGGGACUAUCUAUCUGUAUCAUCAGAUGUCAGAACGGUGACUGCCGGAUAGUAGAUCAUCACAUUUUUAAAAGAUGAAUGAAUGAAUACUUCAUUGAGGACAUUAGUUUCUACUAGAUGUUGGGUUUCAAAAUAAAGUUUCUCUUCAUUUGACCAUCUGA